GAUGAAGAACGCAGCGAAAUGCGAUAAGUAGUGUGAAUUGCAGAAUUCAGUGAAUCAUCGAAUCUUUGAACGCACAUUGCGCCCCUUGGUAUUCCAUGGGGCAUGCCUGUUCGAGCGUCAUUUGUACCUUCAAGCCUUGCUUGGUGUUGGGUGUUUGUCUCGCCUCUGCGCGCAGACUCACCUCAAAACAAUUGGCAGCCGGCGUAUUGAUUUCGGAGCGCAGUACAUCUCGCGCUUUGCACUCAGAACGACGACGUCCAAAAGUACAUUUUUACACUCUUGACCUCGGAUCAGGUAGGGAUACCCGCUGAACUUAAGCAUAUCAAUAAGCGGAGGA
rnacentral:misc_RNA from 1 species